rnacentral:rRNA from 1 species
UACGGAGGGUGCGAGCGUUGUCCGGAAUCACUGGGCGUAAAGGGCGCGUAGGCGGCCUCUUAAGGGUGCGGUGAAAGUCCGGGGCUCAACCCCGGAUCGGCCGUGCCGACUGCGAGGCUCGAGCACUGUAGAGGCGAGUGGAAUUCCGGGUGGAGUGGUGAAAUGCGUAGAUAUCCGGAGGAAUACCAAAGGCGAAGGCAGUGUCCUGGCUGGUAACUGACGCUCAGGUGCGAAAGCUAGGGGAGCGAACAGG